AGUGAACGCUGGCGGUAUGCUUAACACAUGCAAGUCGAACGGAGUUUUUUGAAGUAGCAAUACUUUAAAAAAUUUAGUGGCGAACGGGUGAGUAAUAUAUAGGAAUCUACCCAGUAGCGGGGAAUAAUCAUCAGAAAUGGUGACUAAUACCGCAUACGCCCGAAAGGGGAAAGGAGCAAUCCACUAUUGGAUGAGCCUAUAUCUGAUUAGCUAGUUGGUAGGGUAAAUGCCUACCAAGGCAAAGAUCAGUAGCCGGUCUUAGAGGAUGGCCGGCCACAUUGGGACUGAGACACGGCCCAAACUCCUACGGGAGGCAGCAGUGGGGAAUAUUGGACAAUGGGCGCAAGCCUGAUCCAGCAAUACCGCGUGAGUGAUGAAGGUCGAAAGAUUGUAAAACUCUUUUGCCGGGGACGAUUAUGACGGUACCCGGAGAAUAAGGACUGACUAACUUCGUGCCAGCAGUCGCGGUAAUACGUGGAGUCCAAGCGUUACUCGGAAUUAUUGGGCGUAAAGCAUGUGUAGGCUGUCUUGUAAGUUAAUGGUGAAAUACCGGGGCUCAACUUCGGUGCUGCUAUUAAUACUGCUUGACUAGAGUUUGGUAGAGGGGAAUGGAAUUCCUAGUGUAGGGGUAAAAUCCAUAGAUAUUAGGAGGAACGCCGGAGGCGAAAGCGAUUCCCUGGGCCAUAACUGACGCUGAGACAUGACAGUGUGGGGAGCAAACAGGAUUAGAUACCCUGGUAGUCCACACCGUAAACGAUGAUCACUACCUGUCGGGACUUCGGUUUCGGUGGGCACAGCUAACGCGUUAAGUGAUCCGCCUGAGUAGUACGAUCGCAAGAUUAAAACUCAAAGGAAUUGACGGGGACCCACACAAGCGGUGGAGCAUGUGGUUUAAUUCGACGCUAACCGAGAAACCUUACCAAAACUUGACAUGGCACCUUAAGCGCAUCCAGCAGUGGAGCGUGUGAGCAAUCUAGGUGUCACAGGUGAUGCACGGCUGUCGUCAGCUCGUGUCGUGAGAUGUUGGGUUAAGUCCCGCAACGAGCGCAACCCCCUUCCAUAUUUGCCAGCGAGUAAUGUCGGGAACUAUAUGGAUACUGCCCGUGAUAAGCGGGAGGAAGGAGGGGAUGACGUCAAGUCAUCAUGUCCCUUAUGUUUUGGGCUACACACGUGCUACAAUGGUGCUGACAACGGGUCGCAACACCGCGAGGUGAAGCUAAUCCCUUAAAGAGCAUCUCAGUUCAGAUUGCAGUCUGCAACUCGACUGCAUGAAGUUGGAAUCGCUAGUAAUCGCAAAUCAGCAUGUUGCGGUGAAUUUGUUCCUGGGUCUUGUACACACUGCCCGUCAAGGCAUGGGAGCUGAAUUUGCUAGAAAACAGUGCGCUAACCGCAAGGAGGCAGCUGUUUACGGCAGUUUCGGUGACUGGGCUU
rnacentral:rRNA from 1 species